CCUCCGCUCUUUCCUUCCCUUCCCCUCCACCUUUACCUCGUAGCUCUUUACCUCUUCCUCUCACCUGUUACUUCAUCUCCUCUUUCUCUCUCAAUCAUCCUUUUCCUUUUUCUCAUCCCUUUUCCAUCUCUCUUUUCAUUUACCCACUUCUCUUCUCUGUUCUCCCCUCCUCCCUCCGUCUCCUCCUCUCUGCCUCCGGCUUAUUAAGAUUUCAAAGAUACAAAUGGUGGCGGGCUGAUUGCUUUCAGAGGAACUGCCUUUAAUAAUUACAGGUGGAGAAGCACUGGGUGACGUCGGCGGAGCAGAGACUAAUGGAAAACUAGAUUUUUUUCACUGAAUUAGUGUGAGGAGGAGGAGGGGGGGGUCCAUAUAUUGACAAGCCAUCAGCAGCCACAGAUCAGGAGAAGUGCUUCAGACUUGUCGGAGAGGACGGCGGCAAACUGGCUCUGAUGCUCCGUGGCAUCUCGAUACGCUUCCUGCCGCCGCCGCCGGCGAGGACGAGGAUCAAACCUCUUUUAUUCUGGUGACUCCCUCCUCCUCCUCCUCCUCCUCCUCCUCCUCCUCCUCCUCUCGUCCAGGAACCUGAAUCAAAAUGUAAAUGGCGGCGCCCUCGGAGGCGCCGGGGCCCUGGGAUCUGCUCGUAUCGAUUGUACCAAGUGAGAGUCUGAGUCGCUCUGGUCGACAACCCAAUGUGUUCCCCCCCGACGCUCUGUGACAGGAAUUACCCAGAGUUCAACUUGGCGCUGGACUCUGCUGUUAAUGACAUUUCUAAUUUCAGAGAGCAACGCGCUCACUUCAGGGCAUCGGAGCCAAAGUCUCUCGGUUCUCCGUCCUCGCCUACACGAGGAUUUUUAUUUUUUUAAACGCAUUCCGAUUCCGACAUUUUCGUCCACGCGAACAGCGUUUUAAAUCACAGCUCCGUCCCGGGAUGAGGAGACUUAAUCUCCAUUUUCAGUGUUGUGCACACGGGGGAGAAGAGUAUUUAGUCUUUUGACGUCAUUGUCAUUUCUGAUUGGCCCUCGCAGGUUGUCCUCCAUCGCCACCCGUUGCUCUGACGUGCUCUUGACGGGGUGACCAUGUUGGGACACGUCCGACUCAGGUUGUACUGGUUCUAGUGACGCGUUCACACGAGUCACUCGCCAGAGUAACUUUGCGUUUGUGUUGAUUUGCGUUAUUCGUGCGGGAAAAAACGGGCAUAAGCACGAUCCCGUUCUUCUUCCUCCCACAAACACACGUGAAGUGUGCCGGCGUCGUUCGCUCAGGGGCCAUGAUGAAAGCGGCUCAAUGGACCGUGACGUAAAGCACGGAUUCCAAAGCAACACACGUUUUCACAACAAUUACACAAUUUUUCCAUCUUUUUCAGUCGUAAACUUGCGACUUUAAUGUUUUAGUUUUCUCUCUGAAUAUUACCCCCUCUGCUCCGUGAUUAUUUUUGUUCUCCUACAAUGUCCCUACUACGCCGCCGUGCGAAUACAAUCUGUACCUGAAGAGUUGUGGGUCCCGGCUGCAGAAGGAACUGGUCUGUCUCAGCCUCCAUGAGGAGCUGGUGUCAGAGCAGCAGGCGUUCGACCUCCUCAGGAGUUCAGACGGUGGAGAUCAACUCUGGAAAGCGGCCUCCAGGGGGGAGUUUUGGUUUCUCUCCCCCCGAAACGGAAAUUAAAUUUCCACGCUUGCUGCCGUACAGUAAACACACCACGUACAGGAGGCAGCGUUUGUGUAUUUAAAAAAGAGAAGUCCAUGUGAGGUAAUGUGGGGGGGGGUUGAUGUGAUGAUGUGUAUGAUGUGUUGUGUUGCGAGCGCUGACCGAUCCAUCCAUCAUCGGCUCGUCGUCUCUGCUGCUGCUCGCUCCUCAAACGCCGUUUUUGUUUGGAAACCAUCCAUCAUGUCCCCGAGCGUGACGCUCCGGCCAAAAGACACCCCGACCGUGUGUGUGUGUGUGUGUGUGUGUGUGUGUGUGUGUGUGUGUGUGUGUGUGUGUGUGUGUGUGUGUGUGUGUGUGUGUGUGUGUGUGUGUGUGUGUGUGUGUGUGUGUGUGUGUGUGUGUGUGUGUGUGUGUGUGUGUGUGUGUGUGUGUGUGUGUGUGUGUGUGUGUGUGUGAACUAUGCAUUGAAACAACUUUCAACAAACAACAGAAGCGGCCGUGAAGUCGUUCCCAGGAUAUUUUUCACACGACUUGACUUCACGUAGGUGAAGUGAAAAAAAAAGAUUCUCGGAAAGAAUUUUCUUUGUUUAGUCUCAAAUUUUGUUUAAUAAGACCUCAGUCUCUGUCAGUAUUCACGUGUAUAAUAUGUCGAUUGACCAGGAUCCAUCUUCAUCAUCUCAUCUUGUGAAACUGAGCUCGGUGAGUUUCAUCUUAAAACUUCUUACGUGUGCAAAAAUGUUGAGCUGAAGUUUUAUGAAUUUGCAUUUGGGCGGCGGGAGACGCUACAGGUAGGUGGCGCUAUAAUGUAACCAGCAGCUACACUACCACAGACAACAUUAUUAUAUUCAUAACUUUGUAUCUUAUUAAAUUGUAUUAAACAAUGCAGAAAAUAUAUAUGUAUUUCAUUUAAAAAUAUAUAUUUUUUGUUUUGUUUGGUUGUAUUUAUUUUCUUUUUAAUUUAUGGUUGUUUAUUAUGAAGUUUAUGGUUAAACUGGAAAUCCUCAAACGUCAUUUACAUUUUAUUGUAGUUUGGUAACUAAAUUAUUAAAACUAAUUUGGUGUUUUUAAAUGUACAUAUUGGCCGACAUACAUUUUUCCAGUUUCAGAACUCCCAAAUAUGGGCCUCCAAAAAUUCCAUAUGUCAUGUCGCUAACCUGCUAAAAAUUUGCAUUUGCAAUAAACUGUACCUGGAUCAGAUCAGAUUCUUGGUAAUUGUCAAUUAUGAGCUCAAAUAUCAGCCACUUUUCUAACGUAGACAUUUUUCCAUCUGAAGUUUUAAAGUUUCACAUUCGACGGAAGCUGAAACGAUGAUUUACUCUCGGAGAAAUGGAGCAGAAACUCGGGCGCUUGAAUUAGUUCUUCACCACCAGACAGACCGGACCUCUUUAUCUAGGUCUCCCCCUCCCCUCCCUCACGUUGGCCUGCUUCCCGUACAUCUGUGGACUCAAAGCUACAAAUGACGUGAUUAUGAUAUAUCAUGUAACAGAGAAAGUCUCUUUGUUCCUCCGUAAAAAGAAAAGAAAUCAAUACCUGGGCGGCGCGGAGCCUUGAGGGGCCGCGGCGCCGCCUCUGGAGCGGCCCAGGUAAGGGUAGGGCCCGCCCGGGGGCGGGGGAGGAGGAGGGGGGAGUUUGGCGGCCUCAGAAUUGCUGAUUCCACAUUUAGCCUGACAGUGAUGCAUGCGUCGGCCGCCGCGUCCGGUUAGCCCGGUACCUGAGGGUCCGGGCCGACGAAGAUCAGCUGCGGACCAGGACGGGGUUAAGGAUGGAGGAGGGAACCUGGAGCUUUAUUUUUAGAACCAGCAAAGUCUGGGAGGGAGGAAAGAUGGAGGAGACGGAGGGGAGUAUUUUAUUUUCUGUGAGGGUGGGAGACGAGGGAGUUGAGGAGACCAAGAGAGAAUUUAAAUCUGCUAGAACUUCUGGCUUGAGAACUUUACCGUGUCGAGAUGUUAGGUGAGGAAAUGAUGAGGAAAUGUGGACUCAUGCACAAUUGAUCUUCAACAUAACAUUACAUUAACCUUCUGUUCCUUCUGACGUCUCCGUGUUUCCAGAUCGCAGCUGUUGUCUCCCAAAGUGAAAAGACGACAAAACCUAUUAAUGAAACUUUGUCGACGUCAAGGGGAGAAAUAAAGAGUGAAGUCAGAGGCGACACAGAUUCGUCCAAGGUUUGGAUUCCCUGCUGGUGAAGUUCCUCCAGGGGGCGCUGUCCGGCCUGAGAGACGUAAGAAACACAAAAUACUCCAGGUGAUUUAACUCUCUCUCUCUGCUCCCGGUCGCUGGUGUUGACCUUCGACCUCUGACCUCUCGGCGGAGCGAGUCAAGGGGUCGUCAUUGGACGGAGCCGGUGGUUUAGAUGUUGGGAUUCGACUGAUGUGUCGCGUUCGGUUGACUUCUUUUUACCUUUAUCUUGACUUUUGUUUCCGAUUUUAGAACGAGAACUGUAGUUUCAGUGUUCUGCUCUCGUCUCCAGUUUCAGUUUGUGCUUCAGAGAGUCUGUUUGUUUUCAACCUGUUGUUUCCUGUUAUCUCAGAAAGUUCAACUUUGUCACCGUCGACGGAGAAGACGACAAAAAAACUACAAUGAAACUUCGUCGCGUCUCACGAAGCCUCAAACCAAAGAGUCUUCUCAAAUGAAAACAUCCAAUAAUCACUUUAGACUUAUUAGAAAGACGUUUUCUCCGUAUGACCGAAAAGAAAUCAGAAGUGAUGUUUUACAGUUUAUCUCCUUUAUGGCAGCGGCGCCGACAGGAAUCUGUUGACGACAGAUAACAGAAGUCGGAUUCGUAAAAAGGAGCUUGAAAGACCCGGAGUGAAAGAUGAAGCCGAGGUCCCGACGAGCAGGCGAGUGAAACCUGGGACAGGAUGGAUGGAUGUGUCCCCCGGCCACGGAGACAAUGAGCCUUUUUUUUUCGCAGUUGCUCGUCUUUGUCUUUGGAGAAGCUCAGACUGAACUCAGCUUCCGACCGACCACCAGGAACCAGAGGUACGACAGUUGACGAUAAGCUCAGAGCGUCCCGUCCCUCCGCUGCAGAACCGGACCAGGUCCAACUGAGGAUGGAUCCCGGAGUGGAGUUGCUGAGCAGAGAAGCUGCAGCUCGUCUGUUCACAUUAGACAACGUCGUCGACAGGACGUGAACUCGUGCUCCGGUGUCGCAGGUUCCACCUCUGACCUCUGACCUCUGACCCCUCCGGUGGAACAGCUACACGUAAACGAUCUGGGUGGUUUCUGACUGCUGGAGGUGAAGCUGCUUCAUUCACACUUUUCACUGGAGAGGAGACGUCAGCUGCUGGAGCAGGAACACUGAAGGAAUCCCAUCAUCCCUCAGUGCUUCACCACCUCCACGUCUCCGUCUCAGGGGGCGCUGAUGCUGCUGCCGGCGGCGUGACGGGACGGACGGGACGGACGGGACGGACGUGUCCUCGUGAGCGUCAGGAACAACUUCAUCAUAGAACAACACCAACAGCUGAUCGGUCACGUGAGCUGACUGCUCACUACAUCAGAACUUGUUCGACAAAGUUGUUUCCAUCGCGCAUUUCCUCAGUUUGGCCCUGAAGUCGCUCACGUCCUUGCACUCGGGCGGCGAUGUGGUGGAGCGGGUCGUUCACUAACCGGAGGGUCGGUGGUUUGAUCCCUGGCUCCUUCAGCCCACAUGUUAAAGGCUCAGGUCGGAUUCUCCUCUCCGGGUUUUCAACUUCAUCAACUUCAAGAACGGACGCUUCACCUGCUGCCUGAUAGACCCCGCCCCCCGACAGGUGCCAUGGUAACCAGAUAAUCAAUGUUAUUUACAGUAGUGACGAGUACAGUCACGACGUGAUGUUUCCACCUGAACGUCCUGAACACGACGGAGACAAAUCACAGACGACAAAACAACAGAACGACGUUCUCAGCAUA